CCGGUGUGGACCGGCAAGAGAACCAACCGUGUCUUAGCCCAGAACCUUUGUUGCGUAUCUCCUGGACCAGCUACCUGAUCCUUCCUUACCCUUCCACGGCUCAGCCAUUAUCUUGAAAACAUGAAUGUGGAGGAAGACGACUUGUGUGUACUGACAUCUCUGCUGGAGGAGAACGAGGCAGCAGCCGUGCCCUGUGGCUCGGAGGAGAAAUGCCUAAGCUCUCUUCAACCUGUAGCGUGGGUUUAUUUAAAAUAAAGUUUGAUGCAACUAAUAAAAGCCGAUAUACAACUAGAGAAGCUGUAGAACACGACUGAGAAACCAGCCGUACAGACAGAAUCCCUGAGCACUUAGGGCAGGGUUACAGGUGUACUUAUGUGUGUCAGGAAUCUUAAAGAUCAAAACAUACCUAGCAAAUCCCACUAAACAUUUAGUUCUCGAGAUUAGGCUAACAGUGCCUGACCUACGUGAGUGCUGGUUCUGUCUAGGGGUGAGGUAAGUUGGCGGGAUCAUUACUGGAAUCUGAACUCCAGCUAGACAACGUGUCAAGAGGGUAAUCAUGAGAAAAGUAGUUACCGGACAUAGAUGGUUGAGGCUCUGAGGAGCCAAAGAUUCAGGCUCAUGGCUGGGUGCCCUACAGUUUUGUCUGUGCUCUGUGAGGGCCAAAGGGGCUGACCUUGGUAGUCCUGUUCCCCUUAAGGUCUGACCACCAUUUUUAGGGGCGUUUGUGCUUUGGCUUCUAACUCAACAAAGGAAAAGAAAUAAAGUAUUAGUAAGGACCAAAGGUUCUUGGGAGUGAUCUGAAAGGAUGGGGUGUCUGACGUCGGCUGCAGAGUGGUCUGUGCCCUGUAAAUGUGUUCUCCUCUGCGCAGGGCAUGGCUGGUCUUCGCUUGCUGUCUGUAAGAUGGUGACAUGCUUACAAAGCUCUGGGGACUGAGUAUGGAUGUCUUUAAUUUUUAAAUUUUAAUUCCCAAAUAAUUAGAAACACUAUGGAACCCCUUCCUAUUCUCACAGAUAUUGGAAGGUUGAAUUUUUAUGCAUUAUAUGUGUGGUUUCCUAUAAUAUUCAGGGGUGAGGAGGGGGUAGAGAGAACUACCCAUGUGCCUUGAAAAUAUUCAUUAAUAGAAUUAAUCUUUUAAUCCUGCCUUUUAGUGCUUUUUACCAACUAUUAAAUACUUUCAUAG
rnacentral:lncRNA from 1 species